AAUGUCAAGUGUUGGUUCUUCUGCAGCAGCAAGUCAACCUCAACCAAACAUAAGUAAAGAAAGAGGAAGACCUAAGGGUUCUACAAAACAGAGAAAGAGGAUCUGUUGGUGUUGCUGGAAGGGGUGACAGGUCUGUUGGUACUGCUGGAAGGAUGAAGGGUCUGUUGGUGUUGUUGGAAGGGGUAGAUAAACUUUUGUUGCUGCUAUAUUUAAUAUAGAUGAUAUUGCUGAUUGGGGUAGAGGUAUUUCUGUUGCUGGUGCAUCUAAUAUUGGUGGUGUUGCUGGUUAAGAUAGUAGGAUAAUUUUUAAAAGGCCAAGAUUGAUUGGUAUGGGAGUGCUACAUAAACAAAGUGAUUUUACAAUCCACAAUCCUACAAUGUCUUUGAAGUCUCUUAUAGUGACUGAAAUUUUUGGACAUUAGAAAUCAAUAUCGAGCGUGAAAUAAAAAGAAAAAAAUAUCGUGACCCAACAAGAACUUCAAAAAAUAAGAGCACAAAAAAAAAUGAAGACAAAUUCCAAACCUGUUGAAAUAAAUUAUAUGAGCCAAACAGGCUCAUCAGCUAUCUAGUAGAAGAUGCAGUAGUGACUGGUAUGCAGUUGUGCCUGCAUUAGUUUUGAUGAAUGUUUUGUUCAAUUAUGAAUGAUGUUGUCUUUUUGAAAAAUAAUUAUGCAACUAU